UCCCUAUAAGCGCUGUGUCAUGAUCUUCUGC
rnacentral:piRNA from 1 species